CCGAUUUCAACGUUUUUCCACCUCUUCGGUUGGCGUACGCUGAACUGGACCCUCGCAGCAAGAAUGGCACGUGGGAAUUGACACCGCGAUCGUGGAACACAUGGCUGAUCUGCCUCGAAUAACUGCAAGCGGGCGCGUGCGUAGUGCCGUGGAGAACGAUCAGAAGUCCUGGACGACAAAGAAAAAACUUCAAAGCUGCUUCUAGUAGUGGUGCCCCUGGUGUGCACCUUUACCCCAAAUGUCUGCACCUUUGCCUACCGCUGCCUCUGCGAACCCCGCUCCUGGACAACAGCUGGGAGGCUCUGUGUUUAAACGCGUGCACCUUGGACGUCAUGCUCCUGCCUCUGCAAGCCCUUUUGCUGGAUGCCGUGGAAGGCCCUCCACUCGAAAGUGUGCACCUUAGACGACACGCUCAUCAAUACCAAGUUCUUUGUCCUUCUCGGCAUGAUUGUAGUGCCAUAUAAUAGUGAGGCAAUAAAUCAUUUUUGCUGGUCACUUGAUGUUCCAUGCAUGUUGCUUGGUUUCUGAACACUUGACUUGGUUU